UGCUUUAUUUGUCAGCUAAGUGGCGCACGGGUGAGUAAUGUAUAGGUAAUAUGCCUCUUACUAAGGGAUAACAAUUGGAAACGAUUGCUAAUACCUUAUAUUCCUUUUUAUCAAAAGAUAAAAAGGGAAAGAUUUAUUGGUAAGAGAUUAGCCUGUAUUGUAUCAGUUAGUUGGUGGGGUAAUGGCCUACCAAGACAAUGACGCAUAACUGGUUUGAGAGGAUGAUCAGUCACACUGGAACUGAGACACGGUCCAGACUCCUACGGGAGGCAGCAGUGGGGAAUAUUGCACAAUGGACGAAAGUCUGAUGCAGCAACGCCGCGUGGAGGAUGACACAUUUCGGUGCGUAAACUCCUUUUAUAUAAGAAGAUAAUGACGGUAUUAUAUGAAUAAGCACCGGCUAACUCCGUGCCAGCAGCCGCGGUAAUACGGAGGGUGCAAGCGUUACUCGGAAUCACUGGGCGUAAAGAGCGUGUAGGCGGAUUGAUAAGUUUGAAGUGAAAUCCUAUAGCUUAACUAUAGAACUGCUUUGAAAACUGUUAAUCUAGAAUGUGGGAGAGGUAGAUGGAAUUUC
rnacentral:rRNA from 1 species